rnacentral:rRNA from 1 species
UACGGAGGAUGCAAGCGUUAUCCGGAUUUAUUGGGUUUAAAGGGUGCGCAGGUUGUUUGAUAAGUCAGUGGUGAAAGUCUGUCGCUUAACGGUAGGAUUGCCAUUGAUACUGUUAGACUUGAAUAUGGAUGAGGUAGGCGGAAUGUGUAGUGUAGCGGUGAAAUGCAUAGAUAUUACACAGAACACCGAUUGCGAAGGCAGCUUACUAAUCCAUCAUUGACGCUGAGGCACGAAAGCGUGGGCAUCAAA